CCCCUUGACUGGGCAAACUUCAAACAAGGUGACUGAGCUCCCUUAGCUGCCACUGAUUGGACCAGGAUGGACAGCAAAUGUAGGAGGAGUUAAUCUGGAUCUAGCCUGAGCCAGUCAGAUGUCCCCUUUGAAUCCAUGCCUAUAGAAAUACAAAAAAUGGAAGCCAGAGGAUGAUGGAUCCUUGAAGCAAUAGGUCAGGUAGAUCUUGAAAAUUUUUGACUCAAUCCAUAUUGAUGAACACAAGAAUAAUUCUGGUCUACAAAGAGAGGCAAGGGAAAGACUUGGGGUGUAUUAAGAAAAACAGCUCUGUGGAAGUUUAAGUGACUCAUUGCAGAGAAGAAUUGAUGAAGUCAGCAGCUGCUGGAAAAACUUCUUUUUCCUUAAUAGCUGUAUCAACAUGUGGUUGCUAUUAUUCAAAGUGGAUGAAAUAAUUCUGCAAGCCAGUGGGAACAGGAAGCUUCAUGAAGAGGAGAAAGGCUUAGGGCUCGGAAACCACACAGAGCAGGAUAGAUGAGUGUAAGGAGCAGAGCUUUGAGGACAGACACCCCUGGAUUAGACAAUAGCCCCAAUACUUAUUAGUGAUGGUGAAUGGGUGACUUUCUAAAACUCUUUAAACCUUAUUUGUAAAAUGGGGACAUCAAUAUCUAUUUUGAAAUCUUGUAUAAAUUUGCAAUAAUGUCUGUAAAGUAUCUGACAGGAGCUCAGAAAUGACACAAUUCUUUAAAUCCACUCACACCCAAAUUUUAAA